AUUGAACGCUGGCGGCAGGCCUAACACAUGCAAGUCGAGCGGAUGAAGGGAGCUUGCUCCUGGAUUCAGCGGCGGACGGGUGAGUAAUGCAUAGGAAUCUGCCCUGUCGUUGGGGAUAACGUCCGGAAACGGGCGCUAAUACCGCAUACGUCCUGAUGGUGAAAGUGGGGGAUCUUCGGACCUCACGCUAUCAGAUGAGCCUAGGUCGGAUUAGCUAGUUGGUGGGGUAAAGGCUUACCAAGGCGACGAUCCGUAACUGGUCUGAGAGGAUGAUCAGUCACACUGGAACUGAGACACGGUCCAGACUCCUACGGGAGGCAGCAGUGGGGAAUAUUGGACAAUGGGCGAAAGCCUGAUCCAGCCAUGCCGCGUGUGUGAAGAAGGUCUUCGGAUUGUAAAGCACUUUAAGUUGGGAGGAAGGGCAGUAAGUUAAUACCUUGCUGUUUUGACGUUACCAACAGAAUAAGCACCGGCUAACUUCGUG
rnacentral:rRNA from 1 species